rnacentral:rRNA from 1 species
GACGAACGCUGGCGGCGUGCCUAAUACAUGCAAGUAGGACGCAGUUGCGAACGGGUGAGUAACGCGUAUGUAACUGCCUAUUAGUAGCUGCUAACUAUUGGAAACGAUAGCUAAUACCGCAUACUAGUAGAUGGACCUGCGUUGUAUUAGCUAGUAGGUAGGGUAAUGGCCUACCUAGGCGAAGGUACAUAGCCGAGUUGAGGAGGUGGACCGGCAACCUGGGAAUGGGAAACGGCCCAGAAUCCUAAGGGAGGGCGCAGUAGGGGAACUUUGGCAAUGGGGGGAAACCUGAACGAGCAACGCCGCGUGAGUGAAGAAGGGCUUCGGAGCGUAAAGCUCUGUUGUUAAGGAAGCGGUACUUAAACAGAAAGGGACGGCUAACUACGUGCCAGCCGCCGCGGUAAUAC